rnacentral:rRNA from 1 species
UACGUAGGGCGCAAGCGUUGUCCGGAAUUAUUGGGCGUAAAGAGCUCGUAGGCGGCCAGUUGCGUCUGCUGUGAAAUCCCGGGGCUCAACCCCGGGCGUGCAGUGGAUACGGGCUGGCUAGAGGCAGGCAGGGGAGAACGGAAUUCCCGGUGUAGCGGUGAAAUGCGCAGAUAUCGGGAGGAACACCGGUGGCGAAGGCGGCUCUCUGGGACGGUACUGACGCUGAGACGCGAAAGCGUGGGGAGCGAACAGG